rnacentral:rRNA from 1 species
GAGUUUGAUCAUGGCUCAGGAUGAACGCUGGCGGCGUGCUUAACACAUGCAAGUCGAACGGUGAAGCCAAGCUUGCUUGGUGGAUCAGUAGCGAACGGGUGAGUAACACGUGAGCAACCUGCCCUGGACUCUGGGAUAAGCGCUGGAAACGGCGUCUAAUACUGGAUAUGAGACGUGAUCGCAUGGUCGUGUUUGGAAAGUAUUUUUCGGUCUGGGAUGGGCUCGCGGCCUAUCAGCUUGUUGGUGAGGUAAUGGCUCACCAAGGCGUCGACGGGUAGCCGGCCUGAGAGGGUGACCGGCCACACUGGGACUGAGACACGGCCCAGACUCCUACGGGAGGCAGCAGUGGGGAAUAUGCACAAUGGGGCGAAGCCUGAUGCAGCAACGCCGCGUGAGGGAUGACGGCC